UACGAAGGGAGCUAGCGUUGUUCGGAAUUACUGGGCGUAAAGGGCGCGUAGGCGGUCUUAUAAGUUUGGUGUGAAAGCCCUGGGCUUAACCUAGGAAUAGCAUUGGAUACUGUAAGACUUGAGACCGAGAGAGGGAAAUGGAAUUGCGAGUGUAGAGGUGAAAUUCGUAGAUAUUCGCAAGAACACCAGUGGCGAAGGCGAUUUCCUGGCUCGGUACUGACGCUAAGGCGCGAAAGCGUGGGGAGCAAAC
rnacentral:rRNA from 1 species